UCUAAAGAUUUUGUACUGGCAGGCAAUAAAUCUCGAAUGCGUUGCCAGAACGAAAAAUAGAAUGUUGUCGUGUUGUUUGUUCUGUACAUAUUAGUGUUGCACAUCAGGCGGUGCUCAGUUGCAUCUGCACAGUGAGCGAGGAAGCUAGCCACAAUGGUCAACCAUCCGUCCGAAGGGAAGAGCCUGGCGGCAACCUACUGCAUUCUCCUGCUGCUUCUCGUGGCCCUAUGGAUGUUAUAUUCUGUCUUUUAAAUCAGUGUGGCGGGUAUAACUCAAGAGACCAAUGAAGCAGGUGAAUAGUAAAAAAAAUUAAAAUGAAUGUAACAUAAGAGAGCCGUAAUUUUAGUAUCUAAGUUAUUAUGUUAAGUAAUGUCACAUACCCAAGCAUUUAAAUAUCCGUUAAACCGGAAGAACAUCGAAGGAAACGUAACUCAAAACUGCCAGAAGACCAUAACGAGCAGACCGCACAUAAGACCACGGACACGGAAGGUGCUGGGCAUUCCAAUUUAACCCAAACUCCUAAUCAACGAGGCCUUGGCUGCCAGCAAAUCACACAACGAGAAAGACAUCUUCUUAAAGCUUCCAAUUAACUUGAACGACACGUUUUUAUUACCUGUUUUUAGUUUGUAAUCGUUGCUCGAUGCGUAUCAACCUGUCUUUAGAUUAUUAUCGUUAUGGUGUAAGAGUUUUGUAAUAAACUUUUUUUUAGUA